GAUGAACAUGCUAGCACGUGUUGCAAACCCUAGCUCCUGAUUCAAAUUAAAUUCGAAUCUGAUUCUUAGAUUAGGUUGAUCUAAUAUGAUUAAAUCAUGACCUAAUAUGGGUUAGCCAAGAGUUGAAACCCAUUUGGCUUUAAUUAGACCUGAUUUGAUUAGGUUUAAUGUUUUCUUUAAGUUGGUUAAACCCAAUUGGAUUGGGUUUGAUAGGACCUUC
rnacentral:lncRNA from 1 species